rnacentral:rRNA from 1 species
GAUGAACGCUGGCGGCGUGCCUAAUACAUGCAAGUCGAGCGAACAGACGAGGAGCUUGCUCCUCUGACGUUAGCGGCGGACGGGGGAGUAACACGUGGAUAACCUACCUAUAAGACUGGGAUAACUUCGGGAAACCGGAGCUAAUACCGGAUAAUAUAUUGAACCGCAUGGUUCAAUAGUGAAAGACGGUUUUGCUGUCACUUAUAGAUGGAUCCGCGCCGCAUUAGCUAGUUGGUAAGGUAACGGCUUACCAAGGCAACGAUGCGUAGCCGACCUGAGAGGGUGAUCGGCCACACUGGAACUGAGACACGGCCCAGACUCCUACGGGAGGCAGCAGUAGGGAAUCUUCCGCAAUGGGCGAAAGCCUGACGGAGCAACGCCGCGUGAGUGAUGAAGGUCUUCGGAUCGUAAAACUCUGUUAUUAGGGAAGAACAAAUGUGUAAGUAACUAUGCACGUCUUGACGGUACCUAAUCAGAAAGCCACGGCUAACUACGUG